rnacentral:rRNA from 1 species
AGCAGCCGCGGUAAUUCCAGCUCCAAUAGCGUAUAUUAAAGUUGUUGCAGUUAAAAAGCUCGUAGUUGAAUUUCGGGAUUGACGUGAUGGUCAUGCCUUAAGGGGUAUGAACUGUUGCAGUUGAUUUCUCACCUUCUGGAAAAACUUGAUGUCCUUUAUUGGGUGUCUUGCGGAUCCAGGACCUUUACCUUGAAAAAAUUAGAGUGUUUAAAGCAGGCAUUUUGCUCGAAUACAUUAGCAUGGAAUAAUAGAAUAGGACGGCAUGGUUCUAUUUUGUUGGUUCUAGGAUCACCGUAAUGAUUAAUAGGGAUAGUUGGGGGCAUUAGUAUUCAAUUGUCAGAGGUGAAAUUCUUGGAUUUAUUGAAGACUAACUACUGCGAAAGCAUUUGCCAAGGAUGUUUUCAUUAAUCAAGAACGAAAGUUAGGGGAUCGAAGACGAUCAGAUACCGUCGUAGUCUUAACCAUAAACUAUGCCGACUAGGAAUCAGACGAUG